rnacentral:tRNA from 1 species
GUCUCUGUAGCACAAAGGAUAGGGCGUUGGAUUUCUAAUCCAAAAGUCGUGUGUUCGAAUUCCACCUGGGAUG